GACGAACCGAGCGAACGUUGUUCGGAAUCACUGGGCUUAAGGGCGCGUAGGCGGGCACUCAAGUCUGUGGUGAAAUCCGGCAGCUUAACUGUCGAACUGCCUUGGAUACUGGGUGCCUCGAGGGAGGUAGGGGCGUGCGGAACUGAUGGUGGAGCGGUGAAAUGCGUUGAUAUCAUCAGGAACUCCGGUGGCGAAGGCGGCACGCUGGACCUCUUCUGACGCUGAGGCGCGGAAAGCCAGGGGAGGCAAACAGGG
rnacentral:rRNA from 1 species